rnacentral:misc_RNA from 1 species
GUAGGUGAACCUGCGGAAGGAUCAUUAACACGUUUGAAAACGUUUCUAUGAACCAUUUCAAUUUUCUGUGCACCCCUCGAAACCGGCCUCCUGGGCCGUCCUCCGGGUUUACUCGGUGUGACGUGUUUGGGCGUCUUUGGGAGCUACAAAAACCUGGUGGGGGAAGGAACUCGAGUGUCUUCGGACUUUUGAGAACUUUUCUCUGUUGGGCUUUUGCCUGAAGGCGUUGCCAUAAACCCCAACCCUUUAACCUGUAUGUCUGAACUCUUGAAGUUGGCAAAUUCACUUUUGCCAAUGACUUUUAAAACAAAUAACAACUCUUAACAACGGAUAUCUUGGUUCUC